CCUACGGGAGGCAGCAGUGAGGAAUAUUGGUCAAUGGACGAGAGUCUGAACCAGCCAAGUAGCGUGAAGGAUGACUGCCCUAUGGGUUGUAAACUUCUUUUAUAAAGGAAUAAAACGAGGCACGUGUGCCUUUUUGCUUGUACUUUAUGAAUAAGGAUCGGCUAACUACGGGCCAGCAGCCGCGGUAAUACGGAGGGUCCGAGCGUUAUCCGGAUUUAUUGGGUUUAAAGGGAGCGUAGAUGGGUUGUUAAGUCAGUUGUGAAAGUUUGCGGCUCAACCGUAAAAUUGCAAUUGAUACUGGUAGUCUUGAGUACAGUUGAGGUAGGCGGAAUUCGUGGUGUAGCGGUGAAAUGCUUAGAUAUCACGAAGAACCCCGAUUGCGAAGGCAGCUUACUAAACUGUGACUGACAUUGAUGCUCGAAAGUGUGGGUAUCAAACAGGAUUAGAUACCCCAGUAGUC
rnacentral:rRNA from 1 species